GUGGCCUAACCCCUUGUGGGAGGGAGCCGUCGAAGGUGGGAUCGGCGAUUGGGACGAAGUCGUAACAAGGUAGCCGUACCGGAAGGUGCGGCUGGAUCACCUCCUUU
rnacentral:rRNA from 1 species